rnacentral:misc_RNA from 1 species
GAUGAAGAACGCAGCGAAAUGCGAUAAGUAAUGUGAAUUGCAGAAUUCAGUGAAUCAUCGAGUCUUUGAACGCACAUUGCGCCUUUUGGUAUUCCGAGAGGCACGUCUGUUUGAGCGUCAGCAAAACCUUCCGGCCCCCGGUUUGUUCCGGGAAGCUCGGGCGUGCUGGCGCGGGGACUGGCCGCCGCGCUUCGGUGCGGGCGGGCCUUCCCCCGCUUAAAGGUGUGGAAGCUAGCGGGGUGUGCCCCGGAUCGCGACGACUCGUAAGCUUUUUUUACUGUCAAAGUCAAUCCGGACGCCCCCGCCUCACAAACACUGGCCGUUUUUUUCCGGCCUUGAACCCUUGACCUCAGAUCAGACGAGGAUACCCGCUGAACUUAAGCAUAUCAAUAAGCGGAGGA